AGAGUUUGAUCAUGGCUCAGAAUCAACGCUGGCGGCGCGCUUAACACAUGCAAGUCGCACGAGAAAGGGGCAACCUGAGUAAAGUGGCGUACGGGUGAGUAACACGUGGAUUAUCUGCCUUUUAGUGGGGAAUAACCCUGGGAAACCGGGGCUAAUACCGCAUAAGCUCGUAAGAGGAAAGCAGCAAUGCGCUGAAAAGA
rnacentral:rRNA from 1 species